CCUACGGGAGACAGCAGUGGGGAAUAUUGGACAAUGGGGGGAACCCUGAUCCAGCGACGCCGCGUGAGUGAAGAAGUAUUUCGGUAUGUAAAGCUCUAUCAGCAGGGAAGAAAAUGACGGUACCUGACUAAGAAGCCCCGGCUAACUACGUGCCAGCAGCCGCGGUAAUACGUAGGGGCAAAGCGUUAUCCGGAUUUACGGGGGGAAAGGUGAGCGUAGACGGUGCAGCAAGUCUGUUGUGAAAGGUCGGGGCCCAACCCCGGGACGGCAUUGAAAACUGUUGAACAGGCGUACAGGAGAGGUAGGCGGAAUUCCGGGUGUAGCGGUGAAAGGCGUAGAUAUUAGGAGGAACACCAGUGGCGAAGGCGGCUUACUGGACUGUAACUGACGUUGAGGCUCGAAAGCGUGGGAGCAAACAGGAUUAGAUACCCUUGUAGUC
rnacentral:rRNA from 1 species